rnacentral:rRNA from 1 species
GACGAACGCUGGCGGCGUGCCUAAUACAUGCAAGUAGAACGCUGAAGGAGGAGCUUGCUCUUCUGGAUGAGUUGCGAACGGGUGAGUAACGCGUAGGUAACCUGCCUGGUAGCGGGGGAUAACUAUUGGAAACGAUAGCUAAUACCGCAUAAGAGUAGAUGUUGCAUGACAUUUGCUUAAAAGGUGCAAUUGCCUCACUACCAGAUGGACCUGCGUUGUAUUAGCUAGUUGGUGGGGUAACGGCUCACCAAGGCGACGAUACAUAGCCGACCUGAGAGGGUGAGCGGCCACACUGGGACUGAGACACGGCCCAGACUCCUACGGGAGGAAGCAGUAGGGAAUCUUCGGCAAUGGACGGAAGUCUGACCGAGCAACGCCGCGUGAGUGAAGAAGGUUUUCGGAUCGUAAAGCUCUGUUGUAAGAGAAGAACGAGUGUGAGAGUGGAAAGUUCACACUGUGACGGUAGCUUACCAGAAAGGGACGGCUAACUACGUG